rnacentral:rRNA from 1 species
AGCCCAAACCAAUAAAGUUUUCUUUAUUGGGGUUGCGGACAUAUCAUAACGAAGAGGUAUCGUAAUUGAAGAGGUUUGGAAAGACCCACCACAGAAGGUAAUAGUCCUGUAUGUUAAACGAGAAAACGUUAGAUAUGAUCCAGAGUACCACGGGACACGUGAAACCCUGUGGGAAGCAGGAGGGACCACCCUCCAAGGCUAAAUACUACCUAGUGACCGAUAGCGUAUAGUACCGUGAGGGAAAGGUGAAAA